AUUUUAAAUGAUAGAGCAAGGAAAACUAAAAUUCGGGCUAAAAUGGAAAAAUACCAAGUUGUGGACAAAAUGGUAAAAGUAGCCAUUUUCGCAUACGAGUUUUGACAAGCCAGCUCGGAAAUCGGGAACGGUCGGAGGCUAGCUCACACUAUCCGUAUACCAUUUGGCAUAAUGGCUUGUAUAUUUUGAGUAUGGCAUGUAUAGCAUUAUAAUAAUUUUGUAUAUAUAGUAUUAUGAUAUGGUUAUUGAGUGGUAUGGAAA